UACGUAGGGUGCGAGCGUUGCCCGGAUUUAUUGGGCGUAAAGGGCGCGUAGGCGGCCACGCACGUCCGUUGUGAAAUCGCCCGGCUCAACUGGGCGGGGUCAGCGGAUACGGUGUGGCUCGAGCAAGCUAGGGGGCAAUGGAAUUCCCGGUGUAGUGGUGGAAUGCGUAGACUAUCAAGGAAGAACACCCGUGGCUAAGGCGGCUCUCUAGUACGG
rnacentral:rRNA from 1 species